GGCCGGGACCACAGGAGCCCCAGCCCCACACAGCAACCACCCGGGCGAGAAAGAAAGAAAGAGCCAGGGAGGCGGGCGAAGCGCGGGGAGAGAAGCAGAGAAGAAAUAUUCACCUUCCCGCCUCAUGCCCACUUUGAGGCACUUCUUGAGGCGGCAGUAUUGGCACUGGUUGCGGUGGUGCUGGUCGAUGGGACAGUUCCUGUUGGCACGGCAUGUCAGGUAGAUGAAACUCAAGAGAAAAGGUGUGGAUAAAUGAAACUAGCCCAUGAUGAACCUGUUUUCUCCGUGACCACAAUAUUAACCAGGAUGAAUGGCGGUGGCAGUGGGCCUGCAUCACAGGUUGCAGCAGAUGUUCUCAAUAUUUCUAUUAAAAUUUCCUUAUUUCCAUAUGCAAGAGGAGCCCCAGAGCUGCAUCCUUAUGGUAGCUACCAUGCCGUGAUGUAAGCUGCCAUUCACUGGGGAGCUUUGGCAAUAGAAUUGGCUAGAUCAGGAAGCCUAUGUCAACUAUGGAACAACAACUUGCAGCUCAUCUCUAUUGAUGAUGGAAUCUCGCUAUGUCACCAGGCUGGAGUGCAGUGGCGCAACCUCGGCUCAGCGCAACAUCCGCCUCCCGGGUUCAAGUGAUUCUCCUACCUCAGCCUCCUGAGUAGCUGGGAUUACAGGUGAAACAGUCGCAAAUGGAAUUCCAAGAAACAUUCUAUAUACACUGCCUCUAGGACUGGGACAGAUAGCCACUGAGUACCUGCUUCAAAUCACCCUGCACGUUUUCUCUUUGGAAAGAUAAGCACUGGAGAACCAUCUCGUUACCUUCAGCAGAAAUGGAAACAAAUCAAGACAUUAAGAAUGCCGCAGUGGACAGCAGUUAUGCAAGGUUCAGCAGAGGAAGUUUUCAAGAUGGUGUGCCUCACUAGCCAGAAAUCAGAAAAGAUCGAAGCUAGCCUUUUCAUCUCAGCUGCUCCUUAAAUCAGUGCAACCCCUCCAAAUUAAUGUGAAUUGAAACUUGCAUUGCUUUUCAACUUAAUUGAAUACUUACUAUAUGUGAACCACUGCACAAAAUAGGGGAAGAAGAUGUGGGAGACAAAGAUGUGGAGCCUGUCUUCAAUAAAUUUACAGUUAGUUUCAGGGUACAUUGUUUUUCUUCUGCUGUUAAUUAGGUGUAUCCCCAAGACAAUAAAUACAUGAAUGGAAAAGUA
ensembl:lncRNA NR2F1-AS1 NR2F1 antisense RNA 1